rnacentral:rRNA from 1 species
GCUAGGAUGAACGCUAGCGGCAGGCUUAACACAUGCAAGUCGAGGGGCAGCAUACCCAGCAAUGGGUGAUGGCGACCGGCGGAAGGGUGCGUAACGCGUGAGCAACAUACCCUAUACAGGGGGAUAAGCCAGGGAAACUUGGUCUAAUAUCCCAUAGGAAAUAGAUAAGGCAUCUUGUUUAUUUUUAAAGCUUCGGUGGUAUAGGAUUGGCUCGCGUGACAUUAGCUAGAUGGAGGGGUAACGGCCCACCAUGGCAAUGAUGUCUAGGGGUUCUGAGAGGAAGAUCCCCCACACUGGGACUGAGACACGGCCCAGACUCCUACGGGAGGCAGCAGUGAGGAAUAUUGGACAAUGGAUGGAAAUCUGAUCCAGCCAUGCCGCGUGCAGGAAGAACCGGCCCUAUGGGUUGUAAACUGCUUUUAUACGGGAGCAAUAAGGUCUAUGCAUAGAUUGAUGAGAGUACCGUAUGAAUAAGCAUCGGCUAACUCCGUGCCAGCAGCCGC